rnacentral:lncRNA from 13 species
UUGUUUUCUAUCUUUUGCUCUCUCCACUCUCACAUCUUCCAGGUCUCCAUUUGGCUUUACACUUAUGCAGGUUUUCACUUGUGAACAGUAGAUGGCUUCAGCUUUCCAGCUCUCACAUCCUCUAAGAUUCCGCCUAAUGGGACAAUUCCCCUAUCUCUUUUCAGCAGUCUUACUUUUACCUCUGAUUGGAUAAUGUAAGCCAUUUUGAAAUGUUUGAUUGUGGGUAGGAAAAUGGUAUAUUGAUUAGCUUAGAACUAGGUCACUGGUUCCACCCCUGAAUCCCAUCUGUAUUAAUUUCCUAUGGCUGCUCUAAAAAAUCAUCACCACAAACUUUGUGGGUUAAUAAAACAUAAUUUAUUCUCUUACAGUUCUGGAAGUCAGAAGUCGGAAACCAGUUUUACUAGGUCAAAAUCAAGGUGUCAAGGCUGUGCUCUCCCUGGGGGCUCUGGAAAAGGUCAAUGGCUCGAAAGUGAUCCACUGAAGAAUGAAACAAGGGCUGAAAGUAGAAAUACAAACACUCCAAAGCAAAGCUGCAAUCUAAAUCUGUGUGUGCUGCAAAAGCAAGUUGCCCAAAACGACAUAAUAAGAAACAGACAACGGCAUUUCUUCUAACUUCCUAACUUACAUUAUCAUUAUUAGCCAAUAUUUAAAUACCUUAAAAGUAAUUGACGCUAUCCUAAUUAUUCGAUUAUAUUAAAAAUCAAGCAUUAAAUAUUUCACCAUCAAAAUGACUGUAUUGACUUUUUAAUUAACAUAAUUUUGGAAGGAAUCCACA